GUAGGGAAUCUUCCACAAUGGACGAAAGUCUGAUGGAGCAACGCCGCGUGAGUGAAGAAGGUUCUCGGAUCGUAAAACUCUGUUGUGAGGGAAGAACAAGUACCGGAGUAACUGCCGGUACCUUGACGGUACCUCAUUAGAAAGCCACGGCUAACUACGUGCCAGCAGCCGCGGUAAUACGUAGGUGGCAAGCGUUGUCCGGAAUCAUUGGGCGUAAAGCGCGCGCAGGCGGUCCCUUAAGUCUGAUGUGAAAGCCCACGGCUCAACCGUGGAGGGUCAUUGGAAACUGGGGGACUUGAGUGCAGAAGAGGAAAGCGGAAUUCCAAGUGUAGCGGUGAAAUGCGUAGAGAUUUGGAGGAACACCAGUGGCGAAGGCGACCACCUGGACUGAUACUGACACUGAGGUGCGAAAGCGUGGGGAGCAAACAGGAUUAGAAACCCCGGUAGUCC
rnacentral:rRNA from 1 species